rnacentral:rRNA from 1 species
UUCUUGGAGAGUUUGAUCCUGGCUCAGGACGAACGCUGGCGGCGUGCCUAAUACAUGCAAGUCGAGCGAACCUGCAGGAGCUUGCUCCUGUUGGUU